rnacentral:lncRNA from 1 species
GUUAAUUCGAGUGAUAUGGCUCGGUAGUAAAGCAAUUGCUUAGCCAUGCACUACCCCAGGUCCAGUCCCUAGAAUCACCCUCUAAAUUAUUAUCAUCAUUUGUCAGAGAUGAGGAUUGACGGAAGACCUUGUAUCGUUAUCACCGAAUUAUAGCCCAGCCUUUAAAAUUAUUGUGUUUAACUGUGGUCAAAAUCUGCAUGGCCAAGUUUGUCAUCUGAACCGCGCUGAGGUGGAUAGAUCUGCGGCAGUGUCUUUACCAGAGCCACGAAACUGUCAUCACAAUCCAUUUCCUGAAUGUUUUCCCCAUCCCCGGCUGAAACUUGCAGCCUCUCCCUUUAGCCGAUCGCCACCCCCUUCCUUUCUGUCUCUAUGAGUCAGAGGAGUUAAAGUAGCCCUACGUCACCUGGUACCAUGCCUUCCAGGUUUAUCUAUGAAGCAGCUGGCUCCAGAACCUUCUGCCUGCCUAAGGUCGAAUAAUGCUCUGCUUCUGAGUAUGCUGACUUGGGUUGUCUGUUUACCUCACUGCUGGCUGCUGGCUGCUGUCCCCCUGGGAGCUCCCUGCUUGGCUGCUGUGGCUAAUGCUGCCAGGAGGUCAGUUGUCCAAGAAUCUCUCUCUUCAGGCCCUUCUUCCAGUUCCUCAGGCGCCACAUCCAGAAGCAGGAGAAGAAUCUCAGGAGCAGUGUCCACUCUGCUCACAGACCCUGUUCAUCAUGGCUCCAGUGACUCUCGAUUUCCAUCUCUGCUGUGUUUCUUAGCCAGCACGGGGCCUGCAACUACAUCUCCUAUCUGGAUGCUGUGUAAGGUGCAAGGAGCAGCGCUGUUCUCUGUGGACCCUUGUCUGGUUGUGGCGAUUGCUGGGAAAGAUGAAGUCCCCAGACUGGAGCUCAGGCUGCGAAGAGGCUGGCAUGGUAGGUAAUCUCCUAGAUGCCUUGGUAUUCUUGAGCCUAGAUUUAUUUUUGAGACUUACCUAAAGCCCACAUUCAUAUAUUACUACAAAGAACAAUGGUACAUGGAAACAUGGGACUGACUGCAGCGUGUGCAUAGGAACACUUUGUCAUUAGUGGGGCCAUCGAGUCAAACCAUCCAUCCCUCCAUCCUGGGCACUCAUGCUGCUCUGAGCAUGUCCUAAGAUUGGGCAAGAUGUUGAGUGCGAAGCAAAAUGUUCCCUGUGCAGGGCCCCCUGAGACUAUCUUGACUAACAAUUAUUAUAAGAUGAUUAUAAGAUCGUCAGCUGAUUAUACAUGCAAUUAUAGGUAGAUAACUAUGGAUAUAAUUCAUGUAGUAUUUAUUUUAAAAAGCAGCGUAACUCACAUUGUACCAUUUGCUUUCCACAACAGCCCUGGCAGUGUCAAGGCAUCUUUAAACACUCUCGUGAGCACACUGAGGUCCAGAAAACAGAGCCAUGGGCCGAAACCCAGGACCAAAAUUCCAAUCCUGGCCUGGUUCUAUGAUUUUGUUCCGUCUUCUACAGCUUGAGCCCUGCCAAAAUCAUGUACUCACCAAAGGGCUAUUCAUUUGUUUCUUUGUGUGGUUCAUGGAUAGUUCCUGAACUUCGGGCACCAUCUCUUUCUUGGGUAGAGUAGAGAGAAGCAUAAAAGAAUCUCACUCUUCUGUCUCUGGAUGGGGAAGCCUGGCAGUUUGAGUUUGAUAACUUGCUUACUUAUUUCUGCCUUGGCCAUGUUUCCCAAACCUGUUUGAACCCAAUGCUCUGAGAUGACAAUUUUCACUCUUGCUGUACCUGGAACAGCCCCAAUGUAUUCAUUUUGGUGUCUUAUUAGAAUGAUUAAUAAUACUCAUUUUUGUGUGUGCUUGCAUGCUUAAAAAGUAUCCUGGCUUGGGUGAUAGACCUUCCAGGGACACCCAGCACAAGGCUGCAAUUCCCAACUGAGAGCUGUGCACAAGAGAGCAACUCCAGAAGCCAAGGGUGCACAGUGAGAUUAAGUACCUAAGACAAGGUGCAUCUAGAAAGCAGACCGCAGUUUUAAAAGGCCUGUAAUUACACAGUAUGUAGAAAGCGCCACAAGUGAAGCUUUCCAGAAGCAGAGCUCACCAAAUAACCAUCUGCACUUUAGUGUCGCCAGACUUCCUUUCAGAACAGAUCAGGUCAUGUGACUAGUUGGGUCCUUGUAGUGGCAGAAGCGAGAUGCCCCUUCUAGGCCAAGGCAAGAUCUGCUGCCCUCUGACUUCUACCUGUUGCUGAGAUGACUUCUGUCGCCAAGGCACCUGGAUACCGAGCCACUCCUUGACAAAAGCCCUCUCCAGCCUGCAUGGACCUUGCGUGAGAGAAGUCAAUGUGGCUGUGGGCAGCCCACAGGCUUCCGUUGCCACUGCGUUACAGCUUGUCGUCUUAAUACUGAAAUGAGACCUGGUUCACUUGAUCUCAUUAAUAAAAGGUCUGUGUGCUCCUUCUAGUCA